UCACUACGCCACGACUUCUACGAAGUCGGCUUGUUGUUUAAAACUGAACUCCGAUAGUUUAGUUCAGAGAAAGUGACAGGGGGCAACAGAAACAAGUGAAAGUUCUAGACGAACGCCGAACGGUGACUUUCAUAAGCAGGGAAAAAAUCGCCGGAUCCCCCUCCGCGCAGCGGGUGGUAUAUGUGAGAGUUGAACUUCACUAAAAACUCCUGCUGCUCACAGCCGGCGUCCUACCCCGGACCGGGCCGGAGCCCAGUCGGAGUUAUUGAGACGGCGGGACAGGGUUUACGCAGAGCAUAUUACAUCCGUCCCGCCGUCCCCCAGACGCCGGACCGGCGGGAUGGGACCCCGGUCCCGACCCCCUGCCCGGCGGCGGCGGAUUUCUGCGUAGUGAGGAGAGCUUUGCCUCACCCGCCCCGCCGCCUCCUUCUGCGAGAUGGUGCACUCGAAGAAGUCGAGAUUGUGAAAUAGUAAUGUAUUUUCGAUGGAAAAGGUAGCUGUAUCUAUUUUUUCGUAGAUCUACCUCUUCCUCUAAAGCCUCCCACAUUCCCACAUAGUUGAAACUCUCUUAACAGCCUCAUGCGUGUGGUGGGCGCCUAAGAAUACUCUCAACUGAAACUUAGAUCAUGGGUGUCGUAGAAGAUGACUAAGAGCGAAAGCCAAUACAACCCAGGCCCAAGGUCAACGAAAGCGUUCCCAAGGAGAGUUGCCGUCAGGCAGGCGACCUAUCAUAAAAGUGUUGCCAAAACUUAGACCAUCAUGAGGAUAUUGGCAAUAUGUAAGCAACUCCAGUAACUACCUAAAACCAGAUUUGUCAAACAUUUAAAAAAAACUCUGAUAUUGACAGUAUCAUUCAUAUUUUUCAUACGUCAAAUCACAAAUUGGAAGAUGGAUGUGUCAUUAUUUCUUUUGUAUUAUCAUCCAAAGACGAUUCUGACAGACAAGUAACUAUGUAGUAUACACAGCCUAUUCACAACUACUCCCAUUUUAAAUUGAACAGUUACGACUUCACUUAAAUUACUUGCGAGUCUGUGUAAGUCAGACUUGAACUUGAAAUAAUAAAAAAAAUGUAAAUGCUUUAUGAUAAGAUAUCUUGAAGUGACAUUUUUAUUUGUAAAUGUUUAUAAUGACAUUCAAAAUGCAUUACAUAGGUACUCUGAGAGGUACUUAAAGAUGUAGAUUAGAAUGUUUUUAGACAUAUGCUCAGUGUAAAUGUAAGGCACUAUUGAUAAUUCAAUGAUAUUGGUACCACCGAGAGCUGCUGUCCAUCAUAAAAUAGUACUGAGGCCUAGAUAUUUCUCUUAGUGCUUUGGUAAUACUAUACAAGGGUGGUCAAUCAGGUGGUUCAAUCUAAUUACAAUAAUUUGUGGCUAAAAUAGGACAAAAUCAAUGCCGAAAAAGAAAUUUUGUACAUGAGACUUGUAGAGUACCCUUCGUUAUGAAAUUUCUAGAACAAUUAAUUAAGCAACAAUUCUAAUAUUGUCUGCUAUUAAUAAGAGAAUCCUGAGAUAGUAAAUUUUUAAUAAUUAAUACAGAUAUUUACAUUUCUUUAAAUUCAAAAUCAAGGAGAAGAAACAAAUCUUUCUAUUUAUAAUAAAGAUUGGAUUACUCCAAAGCCCUAGUGGACAGAACAGCUUUAAGACCAUUAUGUGAAGAAAAUCACCCUUCACCAUUCCUAUAUGUUCUAGAAGGGAAGAAAUACAAACUAUAAAACAUUUAAGUAAUUUAACCAAUAUUAGAGUGCAUUGUUAAAUAGACAAGAUUUUAUGUAAUAAUUGGCUCAGAUUAGUUACAAUCAAUCAAUAUAUUUGAAAAUCAUGUUAUUCUAUAAUAUUAUUUUACAGAGUUAAAAAACCUACUCUACUAAACUAAAAAACUAAUCUACUACUAAGGUACUCUCAUAUUUUAGACACUAUUACAUAUAUUUCUACUAUGUAUUCCACAGUUAGAAACAUAGGAACCUCCUGUAGUGAAGAGUACCAAAUCAAAUACAAUACCUUAAAAAUUAAGAUAAAACUUAGACACAGAUAAUUUUACAAAUUAAACCUUAGUCUCUCCAAUGUUCUAAGUCUAAAAAGUUCAGUAUUUAGACAAUGAGAAAUUAUCAAAUGAAUAAAUGUGAAAUUUUGAUAUUUUAAAUUGUAUAAAAACAAAAGCUUAUCAAUUUCCAAGUUAGCAUAGAAACA